rnacentral:rRNA from 1 species
UACAGGGGGGGCAAGCGUUGUUCGGAAUUACUGGGCGUAAAGGGUCUGUAGGUGGCCAACUAAGUCAGACGUGAAAUCCCUCAGCUUAACUGGGGAACUGCGUCUGAUACUGGAUGGCUUGAGUGUGGGAGAGGAAUGCGGAAUUCCAGGUGUAGCGGUGAAAUGCGUAGAUAUCUGGAGGAACACCGGUGGCGAAGGCGGCAUUCUGGACCAUAACUGACACUGAGAGACGAAAGCAGGGGAGCGAAUGGGAUUAG